rnacentral:rRNA from 1 species
CGAACGGGUGAGUAACGCGUGAGGAACCUGCCUCAAAGAGGGGGACAACAGUUGGAAACGACUGCUAAUACCGCAUAAGCCCACGGUGCCGCAUGGCACAGAGGGAAAAGGAGCAAUCCGCUUUGAGACGGCCUCGCGUCCGAUUAGCUAGUUGGUGAGGUAACGGCCCACCAAGGCAACGAUCGGUGGCCGGACUGAGAGGUUGAACGGCCACAUUGGGACUGAGACACGGCCCAGACUCCUACGGGAGGCAGCAUG